GUGGCGGACGGGUGAGUAAUGUCUGGGAAACUGCCUGAUGGAGGGGGAUAACUACUGGAAACGGUAGCUAAUACCGCAUAACGUCGCAAGACCAAAGAGGGGGACCUUCGGGCCUCUUGCCAUCAGAUGUGCCCAGAUGGGAUUAGCUAGUAGGUGGGGUAAUGGCUCACCUAGGCGACGAUCCCUAGCUGGUCUGAGAGGAUGACCAGCCACACUGGAACUGAGACACGGUCCAGACUCCUACGGGAGGCAGCAGUGGGGAAUAUUGCACAAUGGGCGCAAGCCUGAUGCAGCCAUGCCGCGUGUGUGAAGAAGGCCUUCGGGUUGUAAAGCACUUUCAGCGAGGAGGAAGGUGGUGAACUUAAUACGUUCAUCAAUUGACGUUACUCGCAGAAGAAGCACCGGCUAACUCCGUGCCAGCAGCCGCGGUAAUACGGAGGGUGCAAGCGUUAAUCGGAAUUACUGGGCGUAAAGCGCACGCAGGCGGUUUGUUAAGUCAGAUGUGAAAUCCCCGGGCUCAACCUGGGAACUGCAUUUGAAACUGGCAAGCUAGAGUCUCGUAGAGGGGGGUAGAAUUCCAGGUGUAGCGGUGAAAUGCGUAGAGAUCUGGAGGAAUACCGGUGGCGAAGGCGGCCCCCUGGACGAAGACUGACGCUCAGGUGCGAAAGCGUGGGGAGCAAACAG
rnacentral:rRNA from 1 species